CAGAGGUCCCAAGCGUUGUUCGGAUUUACUGGGCGUAAAGGGUGCGUAGGUGGUCGGGUAAGUCUCAUGUGAAAUCUCCAAGCUCAACUUGGAAAUGGCAUGGGAUACUAUUCGGCUAGAGGAUUGGAGGGGGGACUGGAAUUCCCGGUGUAGCAGUGAAAUGCGUAGAUAUCGGGAGGAACACCAGUGGCGAAGGCGAGUCCCUGGACAAUUCCUGACGCUGAGGCACGAAAGCUAGGGGAGCAAACAGGAUUAGAUACCCUGGUAGUCCUAGCUGUAAACGGUGCUCACUUGCUGUAGACGGAAUCGACCCCGUCUGUGGCGAAGCUAACGCGUUAAGUGAGCCGCCUGGGGAGUACGGUCGCAAGAUUA
rnacentral:rRNA from 1 species